rnacentral:tRNA from 1 species
AAAUCCGUUGGUUUUAUAGACCGUGAGG